UACGGGGGGAGCAAGCGUUGUUCGGAUUUACUGGGCGUAAAGGGCGCGUAGGCGGCCAGCACAAGUCAGUUGUGAAAUCUCCGAGCUUAACUCGGAAAGGUCAACUGAUACUGUGCGGCUAGAGUGCAGAAGGGGCAACUGGAAUUCUUGGUGUAGCGGUGAAAUGCGUAGAUAUCAGGAGGAACACCUGCGGUGUAGACGGCUUACUGGACCAUAACUGACGCUGAGGCACGAAAGCGUGGGUAGCAAACAGG
rnacentral:rRNA from 1 species